UACGUAGGGGGCAAGCGUUGUCCGGAUUUAUUGGGCGUAAAGAGCGUGUAGGCGGCUUUACAGGUCCGUUGUGAAAACUCGAGGCUCAACCUCGAGACGCCGGUGGAAACCGUAAAGCUAGAGUCCGGAAGAGGAGAGUGGAAUUCCUGGUGUAGCGGUGAAAUGCGCAGAUAUCAGGAGGAACACCCGUGGCGAAAGCGGCUCUCUGGGACGGUACUGACGCUGAGACGCGAAAGCGUGGGAGCGAACAGG
rnacentral:rRNA from 1 species